rnacentral:rRNA from 1 species
UACAGAGGGUGCGAGCGUUGUUCGGAAUACUGGGCGUAAAGCGCGCGCAGGCGGAUCCUGCAAGUCUGGAGUGAAAUCUCACCGCUCAACGGUGAGGCUGCUUUGGAUACUGCGGAUCUGGAGACCGGUAGAGGCUGGUAGAAUUCCGGGUGUAGCGGUGAAAUGCGUAGAUAUCGGAAGGAACACCAGUGGCGAAAGCGGCUUCCUGGUCCAGCACCGACGUCAGGCACGAAAGCGUGGGGAGCAAACAGG